CCCUUAGAUGUUCUGGGCUGCACGCGCGCUACACUGAUGCACUCAACGAGUUUACGACCUUGCCCGAUAGGGUUGGGUAAUCUUUUUAAAAUGCAUCGUGAUGGGGAUAGAUUAUUGCAAUUAUUAAUCUUCAACGAGGAAUUCCUAGUAAGCGCGAGUCAUCAGCUCGUGCUGAUUACGUCCCUGCCCUUUGUACACACCGCCCGUCGCUCCUACCGAUUGAGUGCUCAGGUGAAUAAUUCGGACUGCAGCAAUGUUUGGAUCCCGAACGUUGCAGCGGAAAGUUUAGUGAACCUUAUCUCUUAGAGGAAGGAGAAGUCGUAACA
rnacentral:rRNA from 1 species